rnacentral:tRNA from 1 species
UCCUGGGUGAUCUAUUGGUCAGGAUUUGGCGCUCUCACCGCCAUGGCCUGGGUUCGAUUCCUGCUCAGGGA